AGUGGGAUAGCUGGGUCGAAUGGUGGUUCCAUUCCAAGUUUUCUGAGGAAUCUCCAUACUGCUUUCCAUAGUGGUUGUACCAAUUUGUAGUCCCACCAGAAAU
rnacentral:pre_miRNA from 1 species